GCUACUCCUCGCGAAGCCCUUCGGCGGGAGAUGAGGGCAGAGAGGCGGCUGGGGGCUCUGGAGAGGAGCGCUGAAGGAGGCAGAGCAGCUCCAGAGCGCUGAGCUGCGGGAGAAGAAGGGGGCCAAAAUCCUCUCUGGAUCCUCAGGAUUAAAUUCUCAUCAGGACCUCCCUAUGCUGUGGUGCUAAGGAGCACAUUCAGAUGAGGCUCAUCUGUGGUGCAGAGGUUGGAAAGCAGCCUGAGAUCAGUGCUGAGGUGUGGGAAGAACUUUGGGAUGGGUUACGUGGGGGAAGAGGCCAACCGUUGUCUUGCUUGAAGAAAGAUAGCAAUCUUGAAUGGAAUAAAGCCCUGAGCAUUGGGUGAAAUUGCUGUGGGUUUGUGCCCAUGUAAUGCAGGUGGGUUUGAGGACAUGUUUUCCUGGUGAGAAGAUUUGAAGGGAUAGUAUUUGCUGCUUUGGUGAUGGAAGAUGGUUUGGGAAUCAUCCUCAGGAGCAGUGCCAAAGGCAGAGCCUUGCUGG